UUAUAAGAGACAGCAGUAGCCACGGGAAAACGGAGGGUGCAAGCGUUAAUCGGAAUUACUGGGCGUAAAGCGCACGCAGGCGGUCUGACAAGUCAGAUGUGAAAUCCCCGGGCUUAACCUGGGAACUGCAUUUGAAACUGUCAGGCUGGAGUCUUGUAGAGGGGGGUGGAAUUCCAGGUGUAGCGGUGAAAUGCGUAGAGAUCUGGAGGAAUACCGGUGGCGAAGGCGGCCCCCUGGACAAAGACUGACGCUCAGGUGCGAAAGCGUGGGGAGCAAACAGGAUUAGAUACCCCAGUAGUCCCUGUCUCUUAUAC
rnacentral:rRNA from 1 species